rnacentral:rRNA from 1 species
GACGGUACCUGCAGAAGAAGCACCGGCUAACUACGUGCCAGCAGCCGCGGUAAUACGUAGGGUGCGAGCGUUAUCCGGAAUUAUUGGGCGUAAAGAGCUCGUAGGCGGUUUGUCGCGUCUGUCGUGAAAGUCCGGGGCUUAACCCCGGAUCUGCGGUGGGUACGGGCAGACUAGAGUGCAGUAGGGGAGACUGGAAUUCCUGGUGUAGCGGUGGAAUGCGCAGAUAUCAGGAGGAACACCGAUGGCGAAGGCAGGUCUCUGGGCUGUAACUGACGCUGAGGAGCGAAAGCAUGGGGAGCGAACAGGAUUAGAUACCCUGGUAGUCCAUGCCGUAAACGUUGGGCACUAGGUGUGGGGACCAUUCCACGGUUUCCGCGCCGCAGCUAACGCAUUAAGUGCCCCGCCUGGGGAGUACGGCCGCAAGGCUAAAACUCAAAGGAAUUGACGGGGGCCCGCACAAGCGGCGGAGCAUGCGGAUUAAUUCGAUGCAACGCGAAGAACCUUACCAAGGCUUGACAUGUUCUCGAUCGCCGUAGAGAUACGGUUUCCCCUUUGGGGCGGGUUCACAGGUGGUGCAUGGUUGUCGUCAGCUCGUGUCGUGAGAUGUUGGGUUAAGUCCCGCAACGAGCGCAACCCUCGUUCCAUGUUGCCAGCACGUCGUGGUGGGGACUCAUGGGAGACUGCCGGGGUCAACUCGGAGGAAGGUGAGGACGACGUCAAAUCAUCAUGCCCCUUAUGUCUUGGGCUUCACGCAUGCUACAAUGGCCGGUACAAUGGGUUGCGAUACUGUGAGGUGGAGCUAAUCCCAAAAAGCCGGUCUCAGUUCGGAUUGGGGUCUGCAACUCGACCCCAUGAAGUCGGAGUCGCUAGUAAUCGCAGAUCAGCAACGCUGCGGUGAAUACGUUCCCGGGCCUUGUACACACCGCCCGUCAAGUCACGAAAGUUGGUAACACCCGAAGCCGGUAC